rnacentral:sRNA from 1 species
GAGCCCGCGCCCCCCCAGACCCCGAGAGCCCGCAGCUCCGGCCCGGCGGCGAUGGCGCGGAGCGUGCGCGUGCUGGUGGACAUGGACGGCGUCCUGGCCGACUUCGAGGCCGGCCUCCUGCGGGGCUUCCGCCGCCGCUUCCCUGAGGAGCCGCACGUGCCGCUGGAGCAGCGCCGCGGCUUCCUGGCCCGCGAGCAGUACCGCGCCCUGCGGCCUGACCUGGCGGAUAAAGUGGCCAGUGUGUACGAAGCCCCGGGCUUUUUCCUGGACCUGGAGCCCAUCCCGGGAGCCUUGGACGCUGUGCGGGAGAUGAACGACCUACCGGAGUAAGGAGAGAGGGGGGCGGGCGGAGUCCUGGGCGGGCUCCUGGCUCCCGGCGGUAACGGCGUCCUUCUCCGCAGCACGCAGGUCUUCAUCUGCACCAGCCCCCUGCUGAAGUACCACCACUGUGUGGGUGAGAAGUACCGCUGGGUGGAGCAGCACCUGGGGCCCCAGUUCGUAGAACGAAUUAUCCUGACAAGGGACAAGACGGUGGUCUUGGGGGACCUGCUCAUUGAUGACAAGGACACAAUUCGAGGCCAGGAGGAGACCCCAAGCUGGGAGCACAUCUUGUUCACCUGCUGCCACAAUCGGCACCUGGUCCUGCCCC